rnacentral:rRNA from 1 species
UACGAAGGGGGCUAGCGUUGCUCGGAAUCACUGGGCGUAAAGCGCACGUAGGCGGAUUCUUAAGUCAGGGGUGAAAUCCUGGAGCUCAACUCCAGAACUGCCUUUGAUACUGGCGGCCUUGAGUCCGGGAGAGGUGAGUGGAACUGCGAGUGUAGAGGUGAAAUUCGUAGAUAUUCGCAAGAACACCAGUGGCGAAGGCGGCUCACUGGCCCGGUACUGACGCUGAGGUGCGAAAGCGUGGGGAGCAAACAGG